rnacentral:lncRNA from 1 species
AUUCAAGUAAUGCUUGCUCUUUUAUGCCUGUGUUUGAUUUGUUGGUGUUGAGUGUGAACCAUAACUUUGACAUGAGGCAUUAGGUGAAUGAUGAGACGAGUCUUAGCGAGGAUUAGACAAACCUGGUGUUAAUUGAUUUCCGGUUUAUUGGGUCAAUGCCGGUUUGAUCUAAGAGUCUAAUUAAUAGUCCGGUUAAGUGUAAACCCUCAGUGAUAUAUAAGGGGGUAAACAAGAGCUGAGAUGUUAUCGUUGUUCUCAUUCAUCUAAGAGUCAACAACGUGUAUCGAGCUCAGGAGUGUUGAGCUUCAUUGUUGUUCUAGUGAAUUGCUGGAUCGAGGUCUGGCCCCAGUGAUUAGUUCUCCAUAUCGGAGAUAUACACUGGGUAAACAAUCUCUGUGUAGUUAUCUUUCUUGCUCUGAAUCUUGAUUAGGUUUAACAGGAGUUACAGAGAGGGUGAGAUCUGAGAUCGAUCGAUAGAUUGGUGAACUUGGAGCGUUAGAUCGUGAUUCAAGUUGCAACAGUUGGUCACAAUCUUCUUGAAGAAAAUUGAAGCCUCUGUAUAUAAAAGAUAUGAACAACGAGCUUUCUAGUUGCAUCAUCUUGUGUUAGUGUUAUGGAAUAGAAAACUUGUUUGGGAAAGGAAGACGAGCAAGUUAGGGCUUUGGAGAUUCUUAUUGCACCCAAAGUUUAUGUUGCAUUUGUUUAAUUGAUUAGGGAAACUUCUCUAGUAAUGGAUUUGGCUAUUGUUGUAGGCUAAUGAACAACAAGCUAGAGCUUGAAUUCAAGAUUCUGGUUGAAGAAUCAGAUCCGUCUUGUGUUGUUGGUUUUAAAAGGACAUGGGAACAUGUUUAGGAAUGGAUUUUGGAACUUUUAGAUACUAACGAUCCAGAUUAAAGAUAGGUUCUUUCUUUGGCUUUUGUCACUUGUCAGGUCGUGGAGAACCGAGAGAUAGUGUCUUCACGUAGGAUCCUACGUGUGUACACGCUAAAGUGAAUCCCAAAUAUUUCUUGUUCUCUAAAUAACUGACCCCACAUUGGGUUUUUGGAGAAUCUCCCUUCUCUAAUUAGACAAUAUGAUUUCCCCUGGUUUAAAGUGAAAAUUAUUAUUUAAAGAAAUUAUCAGGUGCCGUUCCAAAAAAAAAAAUAUUUAGGUAAAUAACUUUCGUUUUUUUAAUGUUAUUAUUUAGUGCCAAAAGAUAAGAAAAUUAAGCAACGAAGUUAGAUGAGAGCGCAAUUUAUAGAUCUGAAUUUUUCAAAACCAUUCUAUAAUUUCUCUUCUUUGUCUUUCUACCACAUUCAAACAAUAAUGUUAAUCUUACAUCACAUUCUGACAAUGUUAUUUUAUAAAAAGAAACAAAACAUUGUCAAAAGGAAUUUAAAAAACAAGAUCCAAUAGCUUCCUUGUGACGCAAACUUCAACCUCCCUGAGUUUUUUUUUUUUUUGGAAAAAAAACUUCAACCUCCCUGAGUUCUCACCUCUUUCCAUCUUCCUUCUAUAGCUUUCUUGACUUUACUCACUAUUUUUCUUGCUCACAGACUAAAUUUAUCUAUUCACCACUUUUACAUACAUUUAUCUAUGUAUACCCAAUACAAUUUCAUGAGUUGGACCGCAUAAACUACACAGGGAAAUGGGAAAUAGUAUUUUAGCAACAAAAAGGAAAGAAAAAGAAAUAGGGUCCUAAUGGUGACUGCGGUUGAUAUUACGGCAGCUUCUUCAUUUUGUCUGCGUGGAUGAUAUAUAGUAAGUACUUCGGUUAUUUUCCAUGGCUUUUUUUCCUUCUAAUUCACAUGAGUAACAUAUAUAAUAAUACUAUUAGAAAAUUGCAUGUUAUAUUUUGGUGAUAUGUUUUGACUUGAUAAAAAGAUAUUUUGUCAUAAAGAAUAUAAGUGGUUCGAAUGCAAACUGGCCUUUCAACUUGCCGUAGAAUCAACAAUAUGACUUUUGGCUCUUACGAUUUCUUGUGUAUUUUUCUUUUGUAAAUCAGUUUAACUCCUUAAUAUAUAUAUAUAUAGAGUCCAUAAUUUUUUCAGAGCUCCGUAUCCAUACUUUCUUCUUGUGUAAUUUUCCUGCUUACCAGCUUCGUGGCGAAUCAGCCAGGCUUAAUUUCCCACACAUCAAACACGAGUAUGGAUACGGAGGCGGUGGUAGAAGCUUCAAGCCUCUUCAUCCCUCUGUUGAAGCAAAGCUCGAAGCGAUUUGUCAGAGCUUGAGAAAGACAGAGGAUGAUGAUGAUCUCCCCUGUUCUGAAACAGAGCUUUUCCCGCCGAAAGCAGAGGAUCAAGAGAGUGAAUUUGGGUUUUUGAGAGCUGAUGCGAAUUCGUUUUCCGAUGAGUCUCAGGUUGGAUCUUUGUCUCCGGAGUCAGGUAUUACCACUAUGUUCAUGGGUUUCUCGGAUUCUGAGUUUGAUGAGACUGGGAGUUUCGUGCUUGAGAAGUUUCCUUCUGUGGAAAUUGAUUGGGAUGCGUUUAGCAAGUUGUCUGAAUCUUAAGUGUCAGCCUUUAACCUCUGUGUCUGCUAUUAAGUGUCGUAUUAGUUAGCUAAUCGCUGCAACUUAAAUAAAAAAAAAAAAACUAAGGUUCGGUUCGGUUCUUUUUUUUUAAAUAAAAAUAAAACAAAAAACAAAAAAAAAAAACUCAGAGGGUUCAUACUGAAACAUUGAAAAGGAAAACAUACUAUGUUCUAAGUAGGCUAGGUCAUUGGCCGACUCUCUCUUCUCUUCGGCAAAUCCACUCGAUAUUAAAUUAAUAGACGAAGAAGCCAUCUUUGAUUAUCAUCCAUCCAUCCCUUUCUGAAUUCUGAUUAUCAUCUCUCUGUCUAGUGACGAUGGGAGCAGCUCGCUCAGUGUUUUCAUUAAGCCUUAUUCCAUCAUCUACUCAUGGAAUCAAUCGAAAUCAUCUCAACCUUUUCUCCUAAACCCAAACAGGAGCGUGCUCUUCCUUCCGAAAAGUUUCGAUUUUUUUUUUUAAUAUGGGUCAAUGGCGAAUUUAGCUAAAGGAAUGGUUUUUUCCUUGAUUCAGGAGAAAUUGGCGGUGGAUAAUGGCUCCACUGGUGAAAUUUUUUCUUCUUCUGCGUUGUUUCCCGAAUCUCCAAACAGGGAUGUAAAUAGAAUAGUCGCUGCUGCUUCUGUAACCGCCGCUUUGGCCUUGUUCCUGUCGACGAGGCUUGAUUUCAGCGUUGCCUUACGAGGAGGUUGGACUCGUUCGUUCAUCUUGGUUUUGUGGUCUUUAGAUUAUUGAGCUUUAUCCACGAAAUGCUUUAAUGAUUUCUUUUGUGGUUAGGCUUUGUCGAAUGGAAAGCCGACAGUGGUGGAGUUCUAUGCUGAUUGGUGUGAGGUUUGUAGAGAACUAGCCCCUGAUGUUUACAAAAUUCAAGUAAUGCUUGCUCUUUUAUGCCUGUGUUUGAUUUGUUGGUGUUGAGUGUGAACCAUAACUUUGACAUGAGGCAUUAGGUGAAUGAUGAGACGAGUCUUAGCGAGGAUUAGACAAACCUGGUGUUAAUUGAUUUCCGGUUUAUUGGGUCAAUGCCGGUUUGAUCUAAGAGUCUAAUUAAUAGUCCGGUUAAGUGUAAACCCUCAGUGAUAUAUAAGGGGGUAAACAAGAGCUGAGAUGUUAUCGUUGUUCUCAUUCAUCUAAGAGUCAACAACGUGUAUCGAGCUCAGGAGUGUUGAGCUUCAUUGUUGUUCUAGUGAAUUGCUGGAUCGAGGUCUGGCCCCAGUGAUUAGUUCUCC